CGAAAGCUAUUUAGGUAGCGCCUCGGACGAACACCAUUGGGGGUAGAGCACUGUUUCGGCUAGGGGGUCAUCCCGACUUACCAAACCGAUGCAAACUCCGAAUACCGAUGAGUGAUAUCCGGGAGACAGACGGCGGGUGCUAACGUCCGUCGUCAAGAGGGAAACAACCCAGACCGCCAGCUAAGGCCCCAAAUUCCUAGUUAAGUGGGAAACGAUGUGGGAAGGCACAGACAGCUAGGAGGUUGGCUUAGAAGCAGCCAUCCUUUAAAGAAAGCGUAAUAGCUCACUAGUCGAGUCGGCCUGCGCGGAAGAUGUAACGGGGCUCAAACUAGGAGCCGAAGCUGCGGAUUUAAUUGUUUCAAUUAAGUGGUAGGGGAGCAUUGUGUAAGCCUGUGAAGGUG
rnacentral:rRNA from 1 species